AUUAAGAGUUGGGGUCAUUAAGAGUUGUGGGGUCAUUAAGAGUUGUGGGGUCAUUAAGAGUUUUGGGGUCAUUAAGAGUUGUGGGGUCAUUAAGAGUUGGGGUCAUUAAGAGUUGUGGGGUCAUUAAGAGUUGUGGGGUCAUUAAGAGUUGGGGUAAUUAAGAGUUGUGGGGUCAUUAAGAGUUGGGGUAAUUAAGAGUUGUGGGGUCAUUAAGAGUUGGGGUAAUUAAGAGUUGUGGGGUCAUUAAGAGUUGGGGUAAUUAAGAGUUGUGGGGUCAUUAAGAGUUGUGGGGUCAUUAAGAGUUGUGGGGUCAUUAAGAGUUGGGGUAAUUAAGAGUUGUGGGGUCAUUAAGAGUUGUGGGGUAAUUAAGAGUUGUGGGGUCAUUAAGAGUUGUGGGGUCAUUAAGAGUUGUGGGGUCAUUAAGAGUUGUGGGGUCAUUAAGAGUUGUGGGGUAAUUAAGAGUUGUGGGGUAAUUAAGAGUUGUGGGGUAAUUAAGAGUUGUGGGGUAAUUAAGAGUUGUGGGGUCAUUAAGAGUUGUGGGGUAAUUAAGAGUUGUGGGGUCAUUAAGAGUUUUGGGGUAAUUAAGAGUUGUGGGGUAAUUAAGAGUUGUGGGGUCAUUAAGAGUUGUGGGGUCAUUAAGAGUUGUGGGGUCAUUAAGAGUUGUG